UUUAUAAUAAGCUAAAGCUAAGCUUUUAAAUUUUUAAUUUAAAUAUAAGUUAUAUUAAUUUCUUUUAUAAAA
rnacentral:tRNA from 1 species